rnacentral:rRNA from 1 species
GACGAACGCUGGCGGCGUGCUUAACACAUGCAAGUCGAACGGUAAAGCGCCUUCCUUUGUUGCGUGGGUGGAUGAGGGGCGAACGGGUGAGUAACACUUGAGUAACCUGCCCCCUUCUUCGGGAUAACCUCAUGAAAGUAUGUCUAAUACGGGAUAUUCUGGGUCUGUCGCAUGAUGGGUUUGGGAAAGAUAUUGUUUCGGUGGGGGAUGGGCGCGCGGCCUAUCAGCUUGUUGGUGGGGUGAUGGCCUAGCAAGGCGGUGACGGGUAGCCGGCCUGGGAGGGUGGACGGUCAGACUGGGAAUGAGGCACGGCCAAGACUGCGACGAGAGGCAGCCGUGAGGAAUAUUGGAGGCAGGGGGGAGGAAUGAUGCAGAGAGGCCGAGAGAGGGAUGGAGGCAUUCGGGUUGUGAACUUCAUUCGGGAGUGAAGCAGGGCUGCCUCGUUUGUGGGUGGAUUGACGGUAGCUGGAUAAGAAGCGCCGGCUAACUCCGUG